GUUAGAUUUUAGGGUUGAUUAAGGGUUAAGGUUAGGGUUAGAUGUAGGGUUAGAUUUUAGGGUUGAUUAAGGGUUAAGGUUAGGGUUAGAUGUAGGGUUAGAUUUUAGGGUUGAUUAAGGGUUAAGGUUAGGGUUAGAUGUAGGGUUAGAUUUUAGGGUUGAUUA